rnacentral:rRNA from 1 species
UACGGAGGAUCCAAGCGUUAUCCGGAUUUAUUGGGUUUAAAGGGUGCGUAGGCGGCCUAUUAAGUCAGGGGUGAAAGACGGUAGCUCAACUAUCGCAGUGCCUUUGAUACUGAUGGGCUUGAAUCUACUAGAGGCAGGCGGAAUGAGACAAGUAGCGGUGAAAUGCAUAGAUAUGUCUCAGAACACCGAUUGCGAAGGCAGCUUGCUAUGGUAGCAUUGACGCUGAGGCACGAAAGCGUGGGGAUCAAACAGG